GACAGAGGGUGCAAACGUUGUUCGGAAUUACUGGGCGUAAAGCGUGUGUAGGCGGCUAGGUAAGUCGGAUGUGAAAGUCCCAGGCUCAACCUGGGAAGUGCACUCGAUACUGCUUAGCUCGAGUACUGGAGAGGUUGGUGGAAUUCUCGGUGUAGAGGUGAAAUUCGUAGAUAUCGAGAGGAACACCGGUGGCGAAGGCGGCCAACUGGACAGAUACUGACGCUGAGACACGAAAGCGUGGGGAGCAAACAGG
rnacentral:rRNA from 1 species